rnacentral:lncRNA from 1 species
CAGAAAAUUCAGCCCAAUUCUAUUGAAUUUUCCAAGCAGACCUAUAAAGUAUUAUGAUAAAACCAGUUUAUACAUUGAGCUCUGGGGACUGGAACGUCUUUCCAUGAUGCCAAUAUGUAUUAAACAAUUGCCCCCUAGGAGCUAGGAUAUUGAGGCAUAAUGGAAGGUGAUGGUUGUACGGUUCAUAUAUUGAGCCUAAAUCUUAUGCGCCGCUUCUUGUUGGUUUAUUUAUAUAGAUAAUACGAAGGGAAAAAUUGUGCCCAUACGG